rnacentral:rRNA from 1 species
GAUGAACGCUGGCGGCGUGCCUAAUACAUGCAAGUCGAGCGAACGGACGAGUAGCUUGCUUCUCUGAUGUUAGCGGCGGACGGGUGAGUAACACGUGGAUAACCUACCUAUAAGACUGGGAUAACUUCGGGAAACCGGAGCUAUUACCGGAUAAUAUUUUGAACCGCAUGGUUCAAAAGUGAACGACGGUUUUGCUGUCACUUAUAGAUGGAUCCGCGCUGCAUUAGCUAGUUGUUAAGGUAACGGCUUACCAAGGCAACGAUGCAUAGCCGACCUGAGAGGGUGAACGGCCACACUCGAACUGAGACACGCUCCAGACUCUUACGCGAGGCAGCAGUAGGGAAGCUUCCGAAAUGGGCGAAAGCCUGACGGAACAACGCCACGUGAGUGAUGAAGGUCUUCAGAUCGUUAAACUCGGUUAUUAGGGAAGAACAUAUGUGUAAGUAACUGUGCACAUCUUGACGGAAGCUAAUCAGAAAGCCACGGCUAACUACGUG